GUUCUUAAUGAUUGCUGUAGAUCAUAGACCUCUUUGAACCAAGUCUUCUAGAUGUGUUCAAUCUUAGUGGACAAGCAAAAGAAAAUAAUUUUGACUUUAAAUUCAAAAUCAAUAGUUACGACAUUGCAUAUAGCUAUUUAUUUGAUUUAUUAUGAAUUCAUAACUUGGUCCAAAAACAUAUAGUAUUGAAUGGUAAUUUAUUUAGAUCAUUAACUAUUUUUUGAAUUUAUUUAUUUGGUUAUUUUAUAUAUUGAUGUGUAAAUGUCAAUAUUUCCUAAAAUUGCCAUAGUGUCAAAGAUUCAUAAUGUUAUGAUAAUUUCAAGAAAGCAUGAAAUUAUCAUAUUUAUUAAAGUCUAUACCUAUAUUUUGCACACCUAUAUUUGACACUAUAGCAAUUUUGAAUAAAUUUUGAGAAUUAAUGCACUAAUAUAAAAAUACUGAAAUAAAUUAAUUUUUUAAAAUAGGUAAUGACUUUAAAUAAGUUAUUAUAUAAUAUUAUGUGAUUUUUUAAUCAAGUUUUUAAUUCAUAAUAAAUAAAUAAAUAGUCAUGCACAAUGUUGCACAUCUCAGGUUUGAAUAUAAAGUAAAGAAUAUUUUCUUAUACUUGCCUCAUGGAAUUAAACACAUGUAGAAGACUUGGUCCAAGGAUGUCCAAGAUUUGCAGCAAUCAUUAAGAAAAAUAUCUUGAUGACCGUUUAACAAAAAAAUUAAAUUAUAAGAUCAAUAAAAUGAAAGAAUAUAUCCCCACCACGAUGAAAUAAUCUCCUUGGCAGCCCUUGUAGUGAGCUCUAGGCGAUCUGUAGCAUCCCUUAAGAUGACUGAUUAUUUAGUACUUUAAAGUUUCGGAUUUAUGGUUUAAGCUUUAGGAAUUUUUGUGAAUGACAUUAGGAUUUUGGUUCUAAGGUUUGACUAUGGAUAUCAGGUUGAACUUUUUUUCAUGAUGUAUGUUUUAAGGUUUUUGGCUUUAGGGUACAAGGUUUAAGGUUUAUGACUAGGGUUUUCAUUUUAGGGUUUAUAGCUAAACCUUUUAUGAGUUAGGAUUUAGGGUUUAUGAUCUUAAAUAUUACAUUGAUAGGAUAAUCUUUGGAUUUUAAGGUUUACAUUCCAUAAAUCAAGACAUAUGGCUUAGGGUUUUUGCUUUCAGGGUAUGGAGUUUUAUCAUUG
rnacentral:lncRNA from 1 species